rnacentral:lncRNA from 1 species
UCAUCAUCUUGAAAAAGAAAAUGGUCAUUACUGGAAGAACCAUCUUACAGUUACAGUCACCUCCUGGUCAAUUCCCAACAUUCAAAAGGUGCUGGGAUUACAGGCGUGAGCCACUGCGCCCAGCUACAACUGACUUUUUUGAUCCCUGGGAGAUGAGUCAACACCAAGGGACGACCAGUCCUAAGCCCUGGACAUGGACCUGGGGGUGAGGACAGAAGGGGAUCAGGACCAGCCCUCUCAUCCUGCACACUGAGGCAUGGGUGAUCCCAGGAAGCCACUCACCAGGCACCAGGGUGGCUUCCUGGAGGAGAGGAUGCUGAAGCCGACCUCAAGAAGUGUCUGUGUUAGGUUUAAGGACUCACAAGACUUCUCUGGCUGGACUAAAGAGUCGGGGUCCCACCAUGUUGCCUCCGCUGGUCUCCAAUUCCUG